GGCUAGUCCGAAUGCAGUGUUUACAAAUAAUUGAUCACAACAAGCUACAGAUUUAUUUAUUCCUUCUCCACUUCCACUGCUUCACUUGACUAGCCUUUA
ensembl:misc_RNA Y_RNA Y RNA